CACACAAGAGGACACAUUAAAGAAUUUGGUAUUCAGAAAGGAAAAUACAGGAGCACAUCAUCGUCAAAAUAUGAACGCCUUCCAGAGAUGGUCUUAAGCAGUACAAAGCAAACUUAUACACUGCGUUGUACUCAUCAGGAGCAUUGUACUAUUAAGUCGAUAAGGUGUAGGCUGCCAUUCCUGGUUCUGCCAUUCCGAUUCCCAUGUCCCCACCCGUGGCGUUCUGCCAUUUCCGAUUCCCAUGUCACAACCUCGAGAUGAUGACGAAUGGUGAGGCGAGCAGCGAGCACAAAUGACGCGAACAUGGCAGCGCUCGGCGGCUCCGGCAGGACAGAACACCGGCGCGACCGCGGACACAGACGAAUCUUGGGCUAGCCGGUAAGCCUUGCCGAAACAACGAAUACGCUACACCGAUCCAAGCGCGAGGGAAUGGGAGGUGGAUGUCGUGGCGGUUUCUUCGUUAUGGGCGCGUGCGGCUCGGGCCUAGCAGCUUGGAGAAGAUAAACAGGGGCUGGCACGCGGGCUGGCUCCUGGGCCCCGCUGCCAGGGGCAGCACACCUCCAGCCAUGGCUUGGGCGAGAGGCGCCGAGCGCGUGGGGUGGGCCUCGGCCUGGGCUGGCGCGGGGCAUACCGCCGAUCCGAGCGCGGGGAAAUGGGAGGUGGAUGUCGUGGUGGUUUCUUCGUUGUGGGCGCGUGUCGGAGCUAAAGUUCCACAGCGGGAAGCUCCUCCAGGGCAGCAGCCACGUCGUGUCGGGAAACGGCUCACAGAACAGCUCUCCCAUCUCGUUGCUGGAGUCGACGAGGAGCACACGGUCGGUGAGGAGCGCGUACAGGAACACGGACGCCGCGGCGAUGAUCCGGUUCCCAAGCCCGCGG
rnacentral:misc_RNA from 1 species